rnacentral:rRNA from 1 species
AUUAAACGCUGGCGGCAUGCCUUACACAUGCAAGUCGAACGGCAGCACGGGGGCAACCCUGGUGGCGAGUGGCGAACGGGUGAGUAAAGCAUCGGAACGUGCCAUUGAGUGGGGGGAUAACGUAGCGAAAGUUGCGCUAAUACCGCAUAUUCUGUGAGCAGGAAAGCAGGGGACCGCAAGGCCUUGCGCUCUUUGAGCGGCCGAUGUCAGAUUAGCUAGUUGGUGAGGUAAAGGCUUACCAAGGCGACGAUCUGUAGCGGGUCUGAGAGGAUGAUCCGCCACACUGGAACUGAGACACGGCCCAGACUCCUACGGGAGGCAGCAGUGGGGAAUUUUGGACAAUGGGCGCAAGCCUGAUCCAGCAAUGCCGCGUGCAGGAAGAAGGCCUUGGUUGUAACUAGCUUUGUCUAGGGAAGGAAAUACUUCUUGGGUUAAGUACUCGGAGGA